rnacentral:rRNA from 1 species
AAACUUUCAACAACGGAUCUCUUGGUUCUGGCAUCGAUGAAGAACGCAGCGAAAUGCGAUAAGUAAUGUGAAUUGCAGAAUUCAGUGAAUCAUCGAAUCUUUGAACGCACAUUGCGCCCGGUAGUAUUCUACCGGGCAUGCCUGUUCGAGCGUCAUUU